rnacentral:rRNA from 1 species
GACGAACGCUGGCGGCGUGCUUAACACAUGCAAGUCGAACGGUGAAGCGCCUUCCUUUUUGGUGGGUGUGGAUGAGUGGCGAACGGGUGAGUAACACGUGAGUAACCUGCCCCCUUCUUCUGGAUAACCGCAUGAAAGUGUGGCUAAUACGGGAUAUUCUGGGUCUGUCGCAUGAUGGGUCUGGGAAAGAUAUUGUUUCGGUGGGGGAUGGGCUCGCGGCCUAUCAGCUUGUUGGUGGGGUGAUGGCCUACCAAGGCGGUGACGGGUAGCCGGCCUGAGAGGGUGGACGGUCACACUGGGACUGAGACACGGCCCAGACUCCUACGGGAGGCAGCAGUGGGUAAUAUUGCACAAUGGGCGCAAGCCUGAUGCAGCGACGCCGCGUGAGGGAUGGAGGCCUUCGGGUUGUGAACCUCUUUCGCCAGUGAAGCAGGCCUGCCUCGUUUGUGGGUGGGUUGACGGUAGCUGGAUAAGAAGCGCCGGCUAACUACGUG